AUACGGGGGGAGCGAACGUUGUUCGGAAUCACUGGGCGUAAAGCGCGUGUAGGCGGUUCGACAAGUCGAAUGUGAAAGCUCAGGGCCCAACCCUGGAACUGCAUCCGAAACUGUCGGGCUAGAGUCUCGGAGAGGAAGGCAGAAUUCCCAGUGUAGGGGUGAAAUCCGUAGAUAUUGGGAGGAAUACCAGUUGCGAAGGCGGCCAUCUGGAUCGGCACUGACGCUGAGGCGCGAAAGCGUGGGGAGCAAACAGGAUUAGAAACCCCGGUAGUCC
rnacentral:rRNA from 1 species